rnacentral:rRNA from 1 species
UAAGCAUAUCAAUAAGCGGAGGAAAAGAAACCAACAGGGAUUGCCCUAGUAACGGCGAGUGAAGCGGCAACAGCUCAAAUUUGAAAUCUGGCCCCCCCACGGGGGUCCGAGUUGUAAUUUGCAGAGGGUGCUUUGGCGUUGGCUGUGGUCUAAGUUCCUUGGAACAGGACGUCGCAGAGGGUGAGAAUCCCGUAUGUGGCCGCCAGUCUUCGCCGUGUAAAGCCCCUUCGACGAGUCGAGUUGUUUGGGAAUGCAGCUCUAAAUGGGAGGUAAAUUUCUUCUAAAGCUAAAUAUCUGCCAGAGACCGAUAGCGCACAAGUAGAGUGAUCGAAAGAUGAAAAGCACUUUGGAAAGAGAGUCAAAAAGCACGUGAAAUUGUUGAAAGGGAAGCGCUUGCAGUUAGACGUGCCUCUAGUUGCUCAGCCGGGCCUUCGGGCCCGGUGCACUCUUCUAUUGGCAGGCCAGCAUCAGUCUGGGCGGUCGGAUAAAGGCCCAUUAAACGUGACUCCCUCCGGGGAGAGCUUAUAGGGUGGGCGACAUGCGACCAGCCCGGACUGAGGUCCGCGCAUCUGCUAGGAUGCUGGCUUAAUAACUGUAAGCGGCCCGUCUUGAAACACGGACCAAGGAGUCUAACAUCUAUGCGAGUGUUUGGGUGUCAAGCCCGGACGCGUAAUGAAAGUGAACGGAGGUGGGAUCCCUUCGGGGUGCACCAUCGACCGAUCCUGAUGUCUUCGGAUGGAUUUGAGUAAGAGCAUAGCUGUUGGGACCCGAAAGAUGGUGAACUAUGCCUGAAUAGGGUGAAGCCAGAGGAAACUCUGGUGGAGGCUCGCAGCGGUUCUGACGUGCAAAUCGAUCGUCAAAUU